rnacentral:rRNA from 1 species
CCUACGGGUGGCAGCAGUGAGGAAUAUUGGUCAAUGGUCGUGAGUCUGAACCAGCCAAGUAGCGUGCAGGAUGACUGCCCUAUGGGUUGUAAACUUCUUUUAUACGGGAAUAAAAUGCUCCACGUGUGGGAUUUUGUAUGUACCAUAUGAAUAAGGAUCGGCUAAUUCCGUGCCAGCAGCCGCGGUAAUACGGAGGAUCCGAGCGUUAUCCGGAUUUAUUGGGUUUAAAGGGAGCGUAGGUGGAUUGUUAAGUCAGUCGUGAAAGGCUGCGGCUCAACCGUAGAAUUGCAGUUGGAACUGGCAGGCUUGAGUACAGGGAAGGUAGGCGGAAUUCGUGGUGUAGCGGUGAAAUGCUUAGAUAUCACGAAGAACUCCGAUUGCGAAGGCAGUUCACGGGACUGCAACUGACACUGAGGCUCGAAAGUGUGGGUAUCAAACAGGAUUAGAUACCCCGGUAGUC